UGGGUUGCAAAAUAUAUAUCCUGGAAAGAGGUUCCUGCUGUUAUUUGUGCUACAGGCCCUGUGGAUACUUAAACCGGCUCUGCCUGUAGGAAUACUAAUCGUUUAGCUAGUUUUUGCAGAUCGGCAUUGCUAGUGACUAGUCUACAUGAGCCUCCAGACAUCGUUUCAACGUAGGCGGGAACUGCCGAAGUCAAGCAACGAACGGGACCGAUCGACGUUUUAUUAACUUCAGACCCUAUUUUCGUGUGGCAUCACCUGGCGUUGACUUCACCUCGAUCCCUCAUAUCAGUACGAACUUCAACAUGGCGGCAGUUGUUUGAUUUCUUCUUGAAAACGUAGUGAUCUGUUUCUUCAAAUAUGUGAUGAAGCAGUAAAGACAUCCUCAAAGUCAGCAUUCAUGGACAAUGAUAUACUGACUGAAAUAGGUGACGUCUUAAGGAACACUCCAAACCAGCCUGGUGGUUGAAACUACAAGAAGGACAGUUUUGUCAGGGAAUUUGAUUUGCAAGGGAUCUUCAAUGGGCUA